rfam:Salmo salar isolate Sally breed double haploid chromosome ssa28, whole genome shotgun sequence.
UGCAUUCACUACUGUAAGUCACUCUGGAUAAGAGUGUCUGCUAAAUUACUGAAA